GCCGGGCAUGGUGGCUCAUGCCUGUAAUCCUAGCACUUUGGGAGGCUGAGGCAGGAGGAUCACUUGAGCACAGGAGUUCAAGACCACCCUGGGCAACAUAGUGAGACUCUGUCUCUA
rnacentral:SRP_RNA from 1 species